GUUUUUGUUUUUUGGACGAUUGAAACCGAAUUUGACAUGAACGUGUCCUGUCCCAUUUUUUUGAUGUUUGUCGUUUUGCUAACCAUGAUCACGGCUGAGGAAAGAACAGGUCCCAAGCCAUGAAGUUUCAUAAGAAAGGGGCCUGUCCAAUGCUAUGCGCCUGUUCAGAUUUGGGCAAAGUCGUGUCAUGACAGGCAUUCAUGUCGCAAGGCUAGCUGGUCAUGGACAUGCUGUUGCUGACUAGUUGUUUUGCCCUUUGUUUGUUAAACACCCUAGAUUAUGGACUGGACAGAUUGUGGCAUUUGUGGGGAAAUUAAAAUUUGGUUGGUACAAAUGUGCUGUGCACAUUGGGCACAUGUACACAUCGACACGUGCUACAUUUUUCAGUGCUUGAAAAUUGACGGUGGCAUGUAUGCUCACAUGGGAUGCUUAAACUUGGAUGGUCGCACUCAUGGCACAUUGAGGCAUAUCAUGUAUGUGCAUGGAUAAAUGUGAUCCUCAUGCACACCAAAACUAUAAUGUGUCAUUGAGAGGUUGUCCCACCUCCCCACCACAGAUGCCCAAUUCAUGGUCAAAUGGUCAUUAUCCAUGACUACUAGACUAGUUCAAACGUGCAUUGGUUCUCAUUCACAAGGGGCUUGAUGCACCAUGGACAUGUAUGGUUGUUAAUGACUAGUGGGGACACAACUUUGCCGAAUCCAAACAGCCCUCAUUGGGAAAAUGGUAAAGCAGGAAAGAGAAACCCUCAUUGAUAUAGUUUCUGUCUUCCAGACUGCCCCAAACGCCAUGGAAGCUCCACUAACCAUGAUUUGGUAGUACACCCAAAUGCACCAAGCGGAGGGAGGGAGCUUGAAAGUAAGUGAGACGUGCAUGUUGUAGCCUAAGAAUCUGUGUGGAUAGUCUCUCUUGGAACACUUGUCUUCAUUUUUCAAUGGCUUGUUGCUUCCAAAUUUUCUAGGUGGAGUUACCUUUCAAUUAGAAGAUACAAAAGUAAUUUAUGGUUCAUAAGCCCUUGUAUUCAAAGUUGGAUAUAUCAAUGGUUCCUUUUUAUAUUGUUUAUUGUGCUCCCAUCUGAUCCAUUUUGCUGCAACAUCUGCUAUCUCAUUCCCCUACACUUUCAGGUGUAGCUUUAAAACAUGGGAUUGGGAAGCCUGAUGCAUAUAGUCGAGAAGGUUUGUGAUGGUACUGUUGAAGGCCCAUCUUUUAGCGGGCAUGCAUCUCUCUUUUCUUCCCCAUGAUUCCAUCAUACAAUGCCGCUCUAUGCUUUCACUUGUUGUGUUUUGUAUGUUCAAGACUCAGAACAGUAUUGUAGACCAUUUGGACUACUUUGAUGUUCAGCUCCUGUGCGGAGAUGUGGGGCUCAUGCUGAGUUGUAAUGGACGAAGUACUGUAAUGGAUUGCAUAGAUCUCAACGGCAGCUUUGUCUUAUUGAUGGAUCCUUCUCUUCCGUCCUAAAACUAAAUACACAAACUGAAACCAGUCACAUCUCUGUUAAGAUUUAUUCAGGGGUCAACAGCUAUAUUGUCUUACAGUUGGUGUUUCAAGCAUAUCUAGUUCUUCAUUUAAAUGCAUGUGGAAGAGAACCUAUGGAAAAUUCCUUGAAUGGGUUUUAGGAAGAAAUCUUAGUCGAAGUUGGGCAUUAUCACCCUUCAUGUGAAUAUGAAUCCAGAUUGGGAUGAACACUGUUAAUUUCACCUGAAUUUUCAAGUUUGUCGUUGAUUAAACUAUUUUAACUGUAUGUACAGGUUUUGGAAAUUCAUAUUCUAGGUAUCCAUCAAACAGGAGUCGAACAGAAUCAGCCUUCUCCCAUCUUCGGCAUUGUCAAGUAAUUUUGGUUCCUCUUGUUUUUCAACAUGCUUCAUGUGCACCAAGAACACAAAAUGCUAAUUCAAUUGAGUUGACUCAGGGGUACAAUGAAUCCAUGGUUGUUUGGCUCUCUGGAAUCUUGAAAACAGAUUCAUAGUGAAAGAGAUUGCAUCUUUGGUGGUUGGGCACUGGGAAAGCUAUUCUUAUAAAUCCAGCUCGUGUUUGAUGCUAGGAAAACUAUUCUUAUAAAUCCAAUUUGUGCUUGUACUCUGAGAAACAGUUGUCAGGUGAAGACGACUUUUCCAUCGUAUUUCCCAAAAUUUUGGACCCAUCUUAAAGAAUAAAGGUUCAAAUUUUGGGAAGUAAAUUUCUGAUUCAAACCUAAAUUUAGCCUCUCACUAAUGGAAUCCAUUUCCAUGGUGCUGGAUUCACACCUGGGAAGUGGAUGGUGCUUUACACAA